rnacentral:sRNA from 1 species
UACUAGCUCAGAUGUAAAAUCUCUUUUGCAUUUGCCUUUUCUUUAAAAAGAAAAAGAUAUUAUGAACAGCUGAAUAAAUU